rnacentral:lncRNA from 1 species
GAUAUUAUAAUCAGCCAAAGUCCUUCCAUCCUCCAACUGCUUCCCAGCAAAGAUCAGCCUUUGCUGGUCCGGUGGGAUCCCCUCCUUGUCCUGAAUCUUCGCCUUGACGUUGUCGAUGGUGUCGCUGCUCUCCACCUCCAGCGUAAUAGUCUUUCCGGUUAGGGUCUUCACAAAAAUCUGCAUCCCUCCACGGAGCCUGAGCACAAGAUGAAGGGUCGACUCCUUCUGAAUAUUAUAAUCAGCUAGAGUCCGACCAUCCUCAAGUUGUUUCCCAGCGAAGAUCAAACGUUGUUGGUCUGGUGGGAUUCCUUCCUUGUCUUGAAUUUUUGCCUUAACGUUGUCGAUGGUGUCGCUGCUCUCGACCUCGAGAGUAAUGGUCUUCCCGGUCAAGGUCUUGACGAAUAUCUGCAUACCUCCUCGGAGACGGAGGACAAGAUGGAGGGUGCUCUCCUUCUGAAUAUUGUAAUCGGCCAAAGUUCGGCCAUCUUCGAGCUGCUUUCCAGCGAAUAUUAGAC